GCGGCCGCCACGCGGCUCCCCGGCGGCCAACGGGGGGGCGGGGCGGGUGCCGCGUGGCGGCGGCGGGGGCGCGCGGGCGGCUUCGACAGUGGCUGGAGCCGCCCCCGGCGCCGGUGAAGGCCUCGCCGCCCCGCGCGAGGACUCCAUCUUGAUCAGUCUUGAGAACGGAUACACAGGACCAUAAAGGUAAGGUUACAAGAGAAUGGCAACAACAGCCCCGGAGGGUAUGGUCUGCUGAUCCCAGAACUGCGUCUGGAGGUAAGGCUCUGUCUGUGGGUGCAGUGAAGGAGACUGCAAGCCUUCAUCUGAAGACUCUGACAACCACAACUCCACAUGCGGACCAUGCGUUUGCAUAUGUUAAUGAGUUCAAGGAAAUCUCAUGUAUAUGUAAAUGAGCUCUCGGAAAUCUUGUGAAUAUGUAUAACUUCAUGGUAUAUAGCCUCUGAAAGCUUGCCAGAUUGUUGGAGCAUUUAUGGUGGAGCUAUCCCCAGCGUGCCCCAGCGCUGCAAUAAAGGGUACCUUGCUUAAUAACA